UACAGAGGGGGCAAGCGUUAUUCGGAAUUAUUGGGCGUAAAGGGCGCGUAGGAGGCAUGGCAAGUGGAUGGUGAAAUCCCUCGGCUUAACCGAGGAACUGCCGUCCAAACUGCUUCGCUUGAGACCGGGAGAGGAGAGUGGAAUUCCUGGUGUAGCGGUGAAAUGCGCAGAUAUCAGGAGGAACACCCGUGGCGAAAGCGGCUCUCUGGGACGGUACUGACGCUGAGGAGCGAAAGCGUGGGGAGCGAACAGG
rnacentral:rRNA from 1 species